rnacentral:rRNA from 1 species
CAGGCCUAACACAUGCAAGUCGGACGCCGCAGUCGCCUUCGGGCGGCAUGUGGAGUGGCGGACGGGUGAGUAACGCGUAGGAACCUACCCGGAAGUGGGGGACAACCGCUGGAAACGGCGGCUAAUACCGCAUACGCCCCAAGGGGGGAAGGCUUCGGCCGCUUUCGGAGGGUCCUGCGUUCGAUUAGCUAGUCGGUGAGGUGACGGCUCACCGAGGCGACGAUCGAUAGCUGGUCUGAGAGGAUGAUCAGCCACACUGGGACUGAGACACGGCCCAGACUCCUACGGGAGGCAGCAGUGGGGAAUAUUGGACAAUGGGCGAAAGCCUGAUCCAGCAAUGCCGCGUGUGUGACGAAGGCCUUAGGGUUGUAAAGCACUUUCGCCCGCGAGGAUGAUGACGGUAGCGGGAGAAGAAGCCCCGGCUAACUCCGUGCCAGCAGCCGCGGUAAUACGGAGGGGGCGAGCGUUGCUCGGAAUUACUGGGCGUAAAGGGCGUGUAGGCGGCCUUGUCAGUCAGGCGUGAAAUCCCCGGGCUCAACCUGGGACGUGCGCUUGAUACUGCAGGGCUUGAGAGCGAGAGAGGUAAGCGGAAUUCCCAGUGUAGAGGUGAAAUUC